GACGAACCGUCCGAACGUUAUUCGGAAUCACUGGGCGUAAAGGGCGCGUAGGCGGCCUGAUAAGUAGGGGGUGAAAUCCUGCGGCUUAACCGCAGGGCUGCCUUCUAAACUGUCAGGCUGGAGCACAGUAGAGGCAGGUGGAAUUCCCGGUGUAGCGGUGGAAUGCGCAGAUAUCAGGAGGAACACCGGUGGCGAAGGCGGGUCUCUGGGCCGAUACUGACACUGAGGAGCGAAAGCGUGGGGAGCGAACAGG
rnacentral:rRNA from 1 species